UACGAAGGGGGCUAGCGUUGUUCGGAUUUACUGGGCGUAAAGCGCACGUAGGCGGAUCGUUAAGUCGGGGGUGAAAUCCUGGAGCUCAACUCCAGAACUGCCUUCGAUACUGAGAGUCUCGAGUCCGGGAGAGGUGAGUGGAACUGCGAGUGUAGAGGUGAAAUUCGUAGAUAUUCGCAAGAACACCAGUGGCGAAGGCGGCGCACUGGCCCGGUACUGACGCUGAGGUGCGAAAGCGUGGGGAGCAAACAGG
rnacentral:rRNA from 1 species